UUAUUCCUACGGGGGGCAGCAGUGAGGAAUAUUGGUCAAUGGGCGGGAGCCUGAACCAGCCAAGCCGCGUGAGGGAAGAAGGUACAGCGUAUCGUAAACCUCUUUUGUCAGGGAACAAAGGCGGGGACUAGUCCCCGGAUGAGGGUACCUGAAGAAAAAGCAUCGGCUAACUCCGCGCCAGCAGCCGCGGUAAUACGGAGGAUGCGAGCGUUAUCCGGAUUUACUGGGUGUAAAGGGAGCGUAGACGGCAGAGCAAGUCUGAAGUGAAAGCCCGCGGCCCAACUGCGGGA
rnacentral:rRNA from 1 species